GGAGAGACCUGCUUCCCUCUCUGAUGGAUAUAGCCUUCAGACUGGACUAAGGGGAAAAUAGCCCCUGCCCCCUUGGUAACUAGGAAGUAGGCACUGAGGGGAAAGAGAAUCAUCCAAAGGAGUCUGAGGGCAGAGGUCUUGGAUCCCGUCUCAACAGGGUCAGCCUCCUCUUCAGAGUAUCAGACUUCUGACCCAAUUCCUUCAGAAUAACAGAAAAUUAGAACUGGAAGAGGCCUUCGAAAUCAGAAUCCAGAGAUGAGGAAACUGAGGACCACGGAAGUGGAGCAUCCUGCCUGAGGUCACCCAGCUACCGAGGUAGUACAACUAGGAAUUGAAUAAAGCCCUUCAGACUCCACCUCCA
rnacentral:lncRNA from 1 species